GACUGUGCCAGGGAGGGGACUGGGGAGAAGGGCAGAUCAUCCUGGGCCCCAGCGCCAGAAAUUGGAUUCUCUGCCUCAGGACAUCUUUCUACUCCUCUCACUCACAGGACCUCCGAGUAAGGAAUUAUGUAACCUGAUGUGGUAAAGGAGUGAUGGCUGCGUGGAAAGAGCAUCGUGGGAGCACAGACAGCGGAGUGACCAGCCUGGGGGUCAGGAGGCGUCCUGGAGGAGAUGACUCCUAAAUGGAUCUUGGAUGACAUGACCUCCGAAGCACAAUGCUGGGAAUGGAACUUAGCACUGAAUUAGAAGUCAGAAGACCUGAGUUCUCAUUUCUCCUCUGCCACUGAUGCAAAUGUGUGAUCUUGAACCAGACACUUCCCCUUUUGGAACCUCAAAUUCCUCAUUUGUAAAUGGAAAGAAUGGAAAAUAAAAAUCUAA